GGUAAUUCUAGAGCUAAUACAUGCGAAAAAACCCGACUUCUCGGAAGGGUUGUAUUUAUUAGAUAAAGAACCAAUAUUUUUGGUGACUCAUAAUAACUUUACGGAUCACAUUAUGUGACAUAUCAUUCAAGUUUCUGACCUAUCAGCUUUAGACGGUAGGGUAUUGGCCUACCGUGGCUAUGACGGGUAACGGGGAAUUAGGGUUCGAUUCCGGAGAGGGAGCCUGAGAAACGGCUACCACAUCUAAGGAAGGCAGCAGGCGCGCAAAUUACCCAAUCCUAAUACAGGGAGGUAGUGACAAGAAAUAACAAUACAGAACCUUACGGUUUUGUAAUUGGAAUGAGUUAAGUAUAAACCCCUUAACAAGUAUCAAUUGGAGGGCAAGUCUGGUGCCAGCAGCCGCGGUAAUUCCAGCUCCAAUAGCGUAUAUUAAAGUUGUUGCAGUUAAAAAGCUCGUAGUUAAUCUUCUGUUAAUUUUUAUAUACAAUAUCACGAUAUUUAUAUAAUAUUAACAUAAUUCAUAUUACUUUUU
rnacentral:rRNA from 1 species